rnacentral:tRNA from 1 species
AUUUAUAUAGUUUAAUAAAAACAUUAUACUUUCACUAUAAAAAUAAGAAUACUAAUUCUUUUUAAAUA